rnacentral:misc_RNA from 1 species
GAUGAAGAACGUAGCGAAAUGCGAUACUUGGUGUGAAUUGCAGAAUCCCGUGAACCAUCGAGUCUUUGAACGCAAGUUGCGCCCGAAGCCACUAGGCCGAGGGCACGCCUGCCUGGGCGUCACACGCCGUUGCCCCCCCAUCUACUCCUUCGGGAUUGCGGGGGGGCGGAUGAUGGCCUCCCGUGCGCCUAGCCGCGCGGUUGGCAUAAAUACCAAGUCCUCGGCGACGCACGCCACGACAAUCGGUGGUUGCGAAACCUCGGUUGCCAGUCGUGUGCGUUCGUCGCGCAUCGAGGGCUCGAAAAAAUGCUCGGCUCCGGCUGGGCUUUCAACGCGACCCCAGGUCAGGCGGGGUUACCCGCUGAAUUUAAGCAUAUCAAUAAGCGGAGGA